rnacentral:misc_RNA from 1 species
UUUCCGUAGGUGAACCUGCGGAAGGAUCAUUACUGAGUGAGGGUCUCCGGGCCCGACCUCCAACCCUUUGUGAAUCGUACUCGUUGCUUCGGGGGCGACCCUGCCGUUUCGACGGCGAGCGCCCCCGGAGGCCUUCAAACACUGCAUCUUUGCGUCGGAGUUUUAGUAAAUUAAACAAAACUUUCAACAACGGAUCUCUUGGUUCUGGCAUCGAUGAAGAACGCAGC